UGUAGAUCCUGGACGAUAAUUACUCAACACUGUGGUAGCAGAGCGGCCUGAAGGAAGGGCCUGGCAUAUUGAAAUGAAUGAUAGUUUCAUAACUCUAGAGAAUUCUCAGGAAAGCAGCUGUUGCCAUUUGCAGUGCCCCCAAGAGGCUCAGAGCAAUGGUCUGCCCAAUACCAGUCUGAAAGCUAUAAAAACAGUGGAUCCAAGUUCAAAAGCCUGGGAAUCUGGUGGUCUUGUUUAGGACCCCCUUAUAUUGCGGUGGCAAGUGUUGCAGGUCGAGUCCCAAUACUCCCUUUCCUCUCCUUAUGGUGAUAAAAUGUCUGCUCUCUGAGACCAUGCCUCUUGGACUAAAGACUACAUUUCCCAACUUCCCUUGUGGCUAGGCACAGUCCUAGGGUUCCUUUCACAGCUGGCUUGAAUGUCAUGACGCAGCAUUUUGCAUUGGAGUGAAGAUUCAAGAUGGCAGAGCAAUGAGGAGGAAUCGGGAAUUAUAACACUUGGAUGCUGGGCAUUGAUGGUACAACCUGGCCAGGGUCCCGGAGCAGAUCAGCAGAAGCCCAGGAGGACCAGAAUCUUGAUCCGGAAGAGUUUCCACUUUGCCCAACAUUCUAUAAAUACCAGCUGAGUGCUCCCCCGUGCAGGGCAUGGCAGAUCGUGCUGUGGGUACAGAGGUGACACAAACUAGGUCCCCGCUCUCAGAGUGUACAAGUGACACCAUGAGACGACACCAACAAGGCCACUUACAGAUGCUCCACGUGACCCUCUUGCGCAUCAUUAUCCCUUCUGGGGAGGGACCCUCUAGUCACCCAGAAGCUCUGUGGUCCCCAGUACUCCAGCCUGAUACAGUGUCUUCUUACUGGUUCCUGGGGCUCUACUCUCUACCCCCACCUCCACCCCAGCCUCUGUCCAUGCCACUUCUUCAUACAGGACCCUCUGCCUCCUAAUCUGAUAUAUUAGUUCAUCCCUGGUCUAUUUGGGUACUUAGUCCUGAUAUCUCUAUCACCAUAGAGGCUUAUUUGAUGCCUCAGAGCCAGGUUAAGGUCUGGUUUGUGUGCUCCCAAACCCCAGCAUACGCUUAGUUCACCUCUUACUGUGAGGAAUGGCAGCUGCCCGACUCCUGUCUUUGACUUCUUCCUGAAGAAUUGUGAAAGUUGUGUUUCCCCACUGCAUAAGGAUUUGGACUUUGAGGAAUGUGUGGGAAUAGAUGAGAAGGUAAGAAAUAGUGAAGGUCCUCUGUCUGAGAGUGUGCACAUGUGGUUAUGUGUGUGUAGGUGUGUUUCAGCAAAUGGAAGAGAAUUGCAGGGGCUGGUGGCAGGGAAUGAGCAAGAUACAAGAUGAAGCUGUCAUUUGCCACACAGACCCUCCAAGCCAAUCUCCAUUUGAUCAUAGUAAUUAAGAGGUUCAGAUUCCCCACAAGCAGCCCAAGUCACAGUAUUCAAAGGCCCCACACCAACAAACUCCUACACUCAUUUCCCGAGAACUCUCCUGUGCACCCACUUUCCAAAAGCUGUGUGUACAGACUUGCUUGGGGCUUCAUCUUUUAGAACAGAAGUAGACAAACUCCUCUGCAAAGGGCCAGAUGGCUUUCUCCCCAUCCUCUGAGCCACUACAUUUUGAUAGUGACUACGUAAUUCUACCAUUGUAACGGGAAUGCUGCUAGAGAUGAGGUAUAGACAAAUGAGCAUGAGUGUGUUCCAAUAAUGCUUUAUUGACAGCACAAACAUCAAAUCCUUUUCCAUUAUGCCCAACUUUAUAGCAAUGAGCUCAUUCAGACAGGAGACUCUCAACAGCUGCAGGAUUGAGUUAGACACCAGAACACCCAGUAUGAGCGUGGUAGAGGACUCCCUUGCUCUCAGCCCACUUCUCCUUUUUAUUCAUCUUGGGACAUAGGAUAGCUCUGCCUGCAUCCAGGGUGGCAAUUUCCUGCUUGGUUAAAGCUUUCUGGUGACAGCCUCACAGUCACAACUACAGAUGUGUUUCCAGGUGACCCUGACUCUCACCAAGUUGACAAUCAAGACGACUUAUCAUUGAGGCUUCCUGAUCAAGAGCUUUCAGCCUCUAAAACUGAGCUAGUCUGAGCAAGGCAGCCUAGAUAGAGUAGCAAUGUGCCUUCCUCUC